CGCCGAGAAUGAAGCUGCCGACGGCGGAGAUGAAGCCGCUGAGGAAGGAGUUGAAGGGGAAGGUGCCGACGCCGAGGCAGUAGCCGAACUGGAGCGCGCCGGUGAGCAGCACGUAGAGCAGGUAGGCGUCCAGCACCUUGAGGCGACUCGGCGUGCCGCUGCCGUACUCGGCCAGGAAGCGCCGCACCACCGAGCCCACCGAGCCCGCGGCCCCCGCGCCGCCCGCGCCCGACCCCGCGGCGCCCGACAUGUUGAGGUGCGGAGCGAGCUGAGGUGGCCGGAAGCAGCGCCGGGAAACGCUUCCGGGGCGCGGCUGAGAAGCGCAGGCGCGUGACCUCCCUGAAGGCCGAGUUCUGCCCAGGGAAGGGCGGAAGCGAGGUGUCAGCAGACACUGCACGCACGCGCGCCGGCUCUCUCCAUCCUUGUGGUUUCUUCUGUCGUUCCAGGGGGAAGAAAAACAACCUAAAAAAAAGCCCAACCCUGAGACCCAGACACUUAAUCUAAACUGUUAAAAAGUAAAAUAACUAAACUAAACUAAACUACUAAACUAAAGUGUUGCAAGGUCAGCAAUAGAGAGCAGAGGUUUCUUUACCAGUCCAACCUUAAAUUACCAUGUUACAGCCUAUUUAUCCUUUCUCCCAAGAAUCCCCCCUUUCCUCGUGAAUUCCUUUGAUAAGAAGACUGCCCGGUUCCUUAUUUCAAGUGCCCCAACACAAAACCCAUCAAAGAACUGAAGAAAUGAUAGAAGUGAGCAGGAAGACCAGCAGCAGAUAUCUCCACCACCUAUGCAGUCUGUGCCACCUCACAAUCAAAGACACAAGCUAUGAUACUGUUCCUGCCCUAUUAACUCCUCAGCCACAAGUGACCUCACAAGCACUGACUCAAGCCAUGUGUAUACGUUUCGGUUUAGUUAUCGAUUUGGCUUAUUAUUUUUAUUAUUUGUAGAAUGAUCUGUAGUUGUUAAAGAAAGUAUCUCCUUGUAGCCUGGCUCCCGUGGUCAUCACCCCUUGUUAUGACAGGAAUGUAAUAAUAAAGUUUGUUGAGGUUGUAUUCCUGGUGAUCUGAAUACGUAAACACCAAAAGUGCUGGUGGCCCAAGUACAAAUAAAAUUGUAAUUGUAACUGGA